rnacentral:rRNA from 1 species
ACGUAGGUGGCAAGCGUUAUCCGGAAUUAUUGGGCGUAAAGCGCGCGCAGGUGGUUUCUUAAGUCUGAUGUGAAAGCCCACGGCUCAACCGUGGAGGGUCAUUGGAAACUGGGGAACUUGAGUGCAGAAGAGAAAAGCGGAAUUCCACGUGUAGCGGUGAAAUGCGUAGAGAUGUGGAGGAACACCAGUGGCGAAGGCGGCGCUCUGGAACAUUUCUGACGCUGAGGCUCGAAAGCGUGGGGAGCAAACAGGA